CCUACGGGUGGCAGCAGUGAGGAAUAUUGGUCAAUGGACGAGAGUCUGAACCAGCCAAGUAGCGUGAAGGAUGACUGCCCUAUGGGUUGUAAACUUCUUUUAUAUGGGAAUAAAACGUUCCACGUGUGGGAUUUUGUAUGUACCAUAUGAAUAAGGAUCGGCUAACUCCGUGCCAGCAGCCGCGGUAAUACGGAGGAUCCGAGCGUUAUCCGGAUUUAUUGGGUUUAAAGGGAGCGUAGGUGGAUUGUUAAGUCAGUUGUGAAAGUUUGCGGCUCAACCGUAAGAUUGCAGUUGAAACUGGCAGUCUUGAGUAGAGUAGAGGUGGGCGGAAUUCGUGGUGUAGCGGUGAAAUGCAUAGAUAUCACGAAGAACUCCGAUUGCGAAGGCAGUUCACUGGACUGCAACUGACACUGAGGCUCGAAAGUGUGGGUAUCAAACAGGAUUAGAUACCCGAGUAGUC
rnacentral:rRNA from 1 species